rnacentral:lncRNA from 1 species
AGCAUUGAGAAGGCUGUGCAGAACUGGAUCCAAUUAGAGGGUGACCGCUUCAGAUUCCCUGGGGGAGGCACCAUGUUCCCACGCGGAGCUGAUGCUUACAUUGAUGACAUAAAUGAGCUCAUUCCUCUUACUGGCGGAACCAUCAGAACUGCUAUUGAUACAGGCUGUGGUGUAAGUAUAUGUAUAUAUGUAUAUAUAUCCUUAAGAAUUUAGUAUAGCAUUUACAUUUAGAAUCCCAAACAGACUUACAGUAUGCAAUUGAAGGUUGCAAGUUGGGGUGCCUACCUGUUGAAGAGGGAGAUCUUGGCGAUGUCUUUUGCACCACGGGAUACACAUGAAGCACAAGUCCAGUUUGCAUUAGAGAGGGGAGUUCCUGCUAUGAUUGGCAUUAUGGCUUCACAAAGGCUUCCUUACCCGGCCAGGGCUU